rfam:Ovis aries breed Texel chromosome 2, whole genome shotgun sequence.
UCCCUGGUCACUCAGAUGGUAAAGCGUCUGUCUACAAUGCAGGAGACCCAGGUUCGAUCCCUGGGUUGGGAA